ensembl:snoRNA
GGGGUGUGCUCAGAGCAGGGGGCCUGAAGAAAUAUGGCUGUUCUGUUUACAACACCCCCGACAGGAAUCUGGGUUCAUUGUGAUAAGGGGCACAAAACUUGUGGCCUUCCUAUGAACAAAUACCCAACACGU